CAUAUCCUAUUCCUACGUGCUCUCCAACCCCACGCCCGACCUCAGCGGCGACUUCGACGUCGACCAGCCGCCCAUCGCGCAAACGCCCCAUGCCUCCCCCCGCCUGCUCAGUGCCCAGGAGCUCGGCCGACGACGCCACAAACGCCGACAAGUAUAGCGCGCCGUGCGCCGCGGCCGUGCCCUUGAUCUCCUCGAUCUGGUCGUGCGUUAGCGCGAAGGACGCGAUCAGCGGAGACGGAGGUGGAAGCCCCUGCGCUGUCACUACGCCGACGCCUCGAAGAUCGGCAUGGUGUUGGCCGGCUUUAGGUCGGCGCGGGAGAUCCCAUCGGCGGCAAGCGACGCGCGCGCCGGCAACGCAGCAGCCUGGUCCGAGUAGUGGCGUAGGCGGGUGAGCGCGUUCUUGUGAGGAGUGGAUCGCUGGAGAACAACCUGCUCCGUUUUUCAAUCGCGUCCUGGUAAAGGAAUCGAUCGCCGGAGAACGAAGUGUUCUAUUCUUCAAUCUUGUACCCAGUUCUGAAGUUUGAUUUCUGCAAUCUUGUACGUAAUUCUGAAGUUUGCUUUUCUCCUGCUAUCUUCCCCAUGAAAUGGCUCAAUGGAAUUGAUGGAAUCAGGAACAUCAUAUUGCUUUCAAGUUGAUCAACCUCUGCCCUUUAUUCAUGGAAGAAGCAGCCGAGUGAGGACGACCUGCUCUCUUCUCUAUCUGGUAUAUUGUCCGGUUUGGUACCUCAUGUUGGCAUGGAAUUUAAAAAUUCAGAUGAAGCUUGGGCAUUUUGGCUUAUCUAUGGUCGUAAAAAGGGCUUUGGGGUCAGGAAAAGGUGCACGAACAAGAGAUCCGCCGAUGGCAAGGUUACUUCAUGCCAAUUUAUUUGUGCAAGGAAAUGGAAUGCUUAAUCUCUUUUGCCAAACAAAAUUCAGUUAUCCUUAUCAAGUCUGAAAAUGUACAAGUAGCAAGUGGAAUGCUACAGAGACAUGGCCUAAUUCAGUUAACAAGUUUGAAAACUAGAUUCAGUUAUCAGCUAAUCGGCCUGCAGCGGUGCGGAAACGACGGCGUGGUUCAGCCGACCACCACCAUGGAGAUGGGUGUGCAGGUGCUCGACAUGAGGUUGCUGCGUGCGUACGCCGAGCUGUCCACCACGGGCGGUGACUCGAGGAGGCCGACCAACUGGACGCCCUUAGACCCGCAUGAAGGACGGGAGCCCAUGUAGCGCGCGUGGCCUGUAUCCUGGACGCUGCCGACCACAGGGGCUCCCGCUGCACGUGCUGCCAUGUAUCCUGGCCGCCUCCGACCAGGGUGCUCCCUCUGCGUGUUGCUCUGUAUCCCGGCCGCCGCCGACCACGGGGGCUCCCGCUGCACGUGUUGCUCUGUGCCCACGGCUCCUUUUGCGAACGAAUGGCGACGGCGAGGAUGCGCCGAGAGCUUGUUCGACCACGGCGGAGAAGGGGAAUUCCAGGGGAACAAGGAGAUAUCCAUUUUGUUCUUUUCUGUGUUUAUUGUGGGCUGCUGACGGGCCGAAGCGUCGCUUCUUUUCAUUGCGAGUGAAUGCUUCUGCCAUCGGAUGGCUUACUAACGGGGUAUACGCACAUCACGUCCCUCUGCAGUAGGCUGAGCUACGUUGGAGGAUCUCGAUCCGUAUAGAUAGGUGGGAGAGCUUUGAGAUUGCUAUACGGCUGUAUAGUUUGGUCCAUUCAGCAAAAAAAUUGGACUUCUGUAGUGUUGUACAUAUGCAAAAACUUUUGAAGGUGCGUGUCAUCAACUUAUGGAUUCCUUUUUACUGCA